CUCCCGACAUAAAGGCAAUGAGUAAUGUCAAAGUUGAGUUUGAGACAUGUGUCCCAUUUUCACCUUUUGACCAACUUUUAUGUGUUCUACCCAAAGAGGUAACUUUAUAUAUUGUCCAAAAUUCCAUUUUAAUUGAUACCAAUUCUUUUGCCCAUAAGGUUAUGCGAUCAAUUUCACUACUUGGAAUGCUUAUGCCUUCCUCAAUCCUAUUCAAGACUUAUGAUAUGUUUAAAAGUCCUAUAUAAAUCUUAGCCGAUGAGAUUAUCUUGUGGACAUUACUAGAGUAAUUGUGAUAUGAGAUACACAUUUUUUUUGGUUUGUUUAUUUAUAUCAUUUGUCUUUUCCUCCAAAUUUCAUUCAUUUACAUUAGAACUUGUUUUCUGUCUAUGCAAAUUGGUGAAGCACCAAAAGAGUUUGUCAAUUUGCCAGUCGUGGAAAAAUUCAUACUUAAGGUUGGGACUUAUGAAUCAGAAAUCUUUAAAAAAAAGCUGGAAUCAGAGCAAAACUUUCUAAAAUGAAGCAUUUGGUAAGUUGUUAUUCAUUUGAAAAUUGAACAUGUAAAUACUAGUGUUUACUGUAAUGUUGGACUCAUAGGCAUCUUAUUUCAAAAAAGCAUACGGACAAAAACUUGCUGUUAGUUUGUCUGAUCUUAAGAGUGGAAGUAGUUCCGCGGAGAUGAAUACCAAGGAUUUGAAAAUGGAACUGCAGAGAUGCAUGGAUGAAAAAAGUGACUUAUUGAAAACUGGAGACUACCUUACUGACAAAUAAAAGUUGGCAUUGCCUGUUGGGAAAACAAGGUAUUAUCAACUAAAGUUUUCUGCGAUGACCCAGGCUGAAAUUCAAGCUAAGAAAGUAGAAGUGAUUUUAAAGUUGAUAUAGAUGGAAAGCGCUACUUGCGGAAGGCUAUUUGCAAGCUUCCAUUUAUCGAUGAGGAACUGCUUUUGACACAAACAAGAGAAAUCUCUGGAUUAUCAGAAGAUGAAAUGAUAAGGAAUUCGAUCAAAGUUGACCGCAUAUUUGUUAGAACAAGCCAUGAGGAUGUUGAUUGCUGUGUCGACUAUCAUGAUUGUGAUGAGGUCCCUGCUCAAGGUACUAGUCAUAUGCCUCAUCUACUUUCGGGGCUGAACCUACCGCCACAGAUGAUUCAUGAACGUGACUUGAAGAGAACACCACGUCUGUGGCAUGAAUCCCACAAAUUUAAUAAUACGUACUAUAUUUAUUUGUUCUUCUAUUAUUUCUUUUGUUGUGGGUUGAAACGUUUGUUAACCAACUUUUAAAAUUUCAGGAGGUAGGUUGCUAAAAUAUCGUUUUAAAUGUUAAACUAUAUAGAUUCUAUGUUAUUAGGCAUGAAUUUCAUGAUAAAUGGGAGCUAAAAUCAUUUUGAGUAAAAUUGAAAGUCAAAAUGAGUUUACUCGAUUUAACUUCCUA